UCUACGGUGGCUAAAGUGGUUAAAGAGUCCACCUCGGAUGCGGGUGGUUGCGGGUUCGAACCCCGGCUGAUUCAUACCAAAG